rnacentral:rRNA from 1 species
UACGUAGGGGGCGAGCGUUGUCCGGAUUUAUUGGGCGUAAAGAGCGUGUAGGCGGCCAGGUAGGUCUGCUGUGAAAACUCGAGGCUCAACCUCGAGACGUCGGCGGAAACCAUCUGGCUAGAGUCCGGAAGAGGAGAGUGGAAUUCCUGGUGUAGCGGUGAAAUGCGCAGAUAUCAGGAAGAACACCCGUGGCGAAGGCGGCUCUCUGGGCCGGAACUGACGCUGAGGAGCGAAAGCGUGGGUAGCAAACAGG